rnacentral:rRNA from 1 species
UACGUAGGUGGCAAGCGUUAUCCGGAAUUAUUGGGCGUAAAGCGCGCGCAGGCGGUUUCUUAAGUCUGAUGUGAAAGCCCACGGCUCAACCGUGGAGGGUCAUUGGAAACUGGGGAACUUGAGUGCAGAAGAGAAAAGCGGAAUUCCACGUGUAGCGGUGAAAUGCGUAGAGAUGUGGAGGAACACCAGUGGCGAAGGCGGCUCUCUAGUACGGUACUGACGCUGAGACGCGAAAGCGUGGGGAGCGAACAGG